GACGAACGCUGGCGGCGUGCCUAAUACAUGCAAGUUGAGCGAUGAAGAUUGGUGCUUGCACCAAUUUGAAGAGCAGCGAGCGGGUGAGUAACGCGUGGGGAAUCUGCCUUUGAGCGGGGGACAACAUUUGGAAACGAAUGCUAAUACCGCAUAACAACUUUAAACAUAAGUUUUAAGUUUGAAAGAUGCAAUUGCAUCACUCAAAGAUGAUCCCGCGUUGUAUUAGCUAGUUGGUGAGGUAAAGGCUCACCAAGGCGAUGAUACAUAGCCGACCUGAGAGGGUGGUCGGCCACAUUGGGAGUGAGACAGGGCCCAAACGCCUACGGGAGGCAGCAGGAGGGAAUCGUCGGCAAUGGACGAAAGUCUGACCGAGCAACGCCGCGUGAGUGAAGAAGGUUGUCGGAUCGGAAAACUCGGUUGGUAGAGAAGAACGUUGGUGAGAGUGGAAAGCUCAGCAAGUGACGGUAACUACCCAGAAAGGGACGGCUAACUACGUG
rnacentral:rRNA from 1 species